CAUCCAUUUGUAUCGUCGCUGUUGAAUAUACUGCUCAAACGUAAUAUUUGCGCGAGUGAACAGUGAUAAUGUUUAUUGCGAUGACAUAUUUGCCUAUUACAUCAAUUUUGUUGUCGCAGUAGAGAAACUUCUUUUGUGCCGACAAUUAUUUGAAUGAUAGAGAAUUAUUAAGGCGAUUUUUGAAUAAAUGCCACAAUAGAACUUACAAAUCUUAAGUUUGUUUUUCGAAGAAACAUCGCAUAGCUUGUUUCUCCCCUCACGAUUUCCUGCACUGCUCAAUCUCCCGUUGCUGCCCACCAUCAUCUUCCUCCCUCUCCCAUGACCUUUCAAUGCUCCCUUCCCAAAUCGAAGACGCCUUCUACCAUUUUUAAAGCCUGAAGAAAUAUUCCUGAAAUCAUAAGGAGAUACUAUAUUCGGCAUAGCUAUCCUUCAAAUAUUGUGGAUGCCAAGACUGGUUCGGAAGAAUCCCACCAUUCGUGUAGAUGGAAAGUAGAGCUCGAUUUCUGGGAGGAGCGAGAAAGCCCCACAUGACUAAUCCUGCAUUGAAGUUUGAUAAGGAGCAGAACAAAUAAGCUACAUGAUUAUGCUGAUUGAGGAAAUAAGACUUAUGGACAAAAAUUGGAUGAGUUUGACUGAUUGAGUUUGAUCACCCGCAUAUGCCAAAGGGGUCAACUAAUUUCUCACCACAGUACGAAGCCUUGCUGUGGGGCGUGACUGUAUUCAGUGUCCAUGCCAUAUCUGUUGUAAUAAUCUCUUCAGGCCUAUACCUAAAGUGGAGAGUCACUUGUUUAUCAAUGGGAUUAAUCCAACUUACACCAAAUGGAUAUAUCAUGGGGAGGAGGAAACACAUAGUUGCAAUGAAGAGAAUAUUCAAUUGGAGCAUAGUCAUGACAACGACUACAUUGAUGACAUGGAGCAUAUGCUAGAUGACAAAUGGGCGAGUGCACUCUUUGAUGAGGAGCAAGAUAGCACUCCAUUGCCAACUAACCCAUCCAUACCUGAAGAGAUAUCACUGUCAUCUUUUUCCCAAUUAUUGGAUGAUGCCCAACAACCACUUUUUCUAGGCUGUACUAAAUUUUCAAAACUCUCAUUUGUUGUCAAGUUGCUACAUAUUAAAACCAUUGGCCAUUGGUCAAUAAAGUCAUUCAACAUGCUGCUUAUAUUGUUGUGGUCUGCCUGUCCUAAUGUAUUAUUGAUUAUUGCCAUAGUCAUAUGAGGAGUCAAGGUCACUGGAACGAGGCUUGGGCUUCAAGUACCAGAAGAUACAUGCAUGCCCCAAUGACUGCAUAUUAUUUUGGAAGGACAAUGCCGAGAAGAAUGAGUGCUCUAGCUGUGGGGCUUCGAGGUGGGUUUCAAGUACACAUGGGACACGAGUCAUCCCUCAAAAGGUUUUGCGUCAUUUCCCUUUGACGCCAAGAUUACAGCGGCUAUAUGUGUCUGCACAGGUAGCAAGUGACAUGAGUGGCAUAAAGAAAAAUGAGUAGCAGAUGAAACUAGCUUGAGGCACCCAGCUGACUCUAAGUCUUGGAAGAAGUUUGAUACAGACCAUAGUUGGUUUGCAGAGGAUGCUCGUUAUGCUAGGCUAGGAUUGGCAAGUGAUGGCUUCAAGCCGUUCAAUAAUAUGACGAAACCUUAUAGCAUCUGGCUAGUGAUCCUCGUACCGUAUAACUUGCCUCCAUGGUUAUGCAUGAAAGACCAAUUCUUCAUUACAUCCCUCAUUAUUCCUAGGCCGAAAUCAUUGGGGAAUGACAUUGACGUUUACUUGCAGCUUUUGCUCGAUGAGUUAGUUGAACUAUGGGAACAUGGGGUACCUAAAUAUGAUGCAUCCACAUCAGAGACAUUCGUGUUGCAUGUUGCUUUAUUGUAGACAAUCAAUGAAUUUUCAGCCUAUGAAAAUCUGUCUAGUUGGUCAACUAAAGGAAAACUAGCAUGUCCAUCAUGCAAUGUUGGUACAGAGGCCAUUUGGUUGAAAUAUGGCCAAAAGCAUAGUUAUAUGGGACACCGUCGUUUCUUAUCGCUUGACCAUAUUUGGAGAUCGAGAAAGAAUUUGUUCAAUGGUAAAGAAGAUCACAGAGUCGGCCCACCAUCUUUAGUUGACUCAGAUAUCCUUAGUUAGCUAGAACUGCUCGAGAAUGUGCAAUUUGAAAAAGUUCAUAGGAAGAGAAAACGCACUGUUGAAGAGUUGAA